UACAGAGGUCCCAAGCGUUGUUCGGAUUCACUGGGCGUAAAGGGUGCGUAGGCGGUCGGGUAAGUCUGAUGUGAAAUCUCACAGCUUAACUGUGAAACUGCAUUGGAUACUAUCCGGCUCGAGGAAUGGAGGGGAGACUGGAAUACUUGGUGUAGCAGUGAAAUGCGCAGAUAUCAGGAGGAACACCGGUGGCGAAGGCGGGUCUCUGGGACGGUACUGACGCUGAGACGCGAAAGCGUGGGGAGCGAACAGG
rnacentral:rRNA from 1 species